CCAAAAAAGUCCCAAGCCUCUUCCAUCAUGUGAAGUCACAGGGAGAAGGCGGUGGCUGUGCACCAGGAUGAGGGGUCUUAGCAGAGAAUGCAACCAUGCUUGUGCCUUGGUCUUGGUCUUUCCAGCCUCCAGAACUGGAGAAAUAAAUUUUCUUUUGUUUUCAAGUGGCCCAGUCUGCGAUAUUCUGACAAAACAGCCCGAUGGACUAAGAUAGCCUCUGCUUUGUUACAGAAGUGUUGUGGAGAAGAAAGAAUAUUGCUCCUCUGCCCCAUGUAUACACAGGAGGUCCAAUGAUCCCACUUCCUUAAGGAAACCAGUCUCAGGGAGACUGAUAAGGAGGCAGUUUCUUCAGGGAAGAAAGUUUGGGUGUUAGUGUCAGCGACACUUGGCUCCAGAUCCCCGACCUCUGGAAGAAGGCAGACAUCUCUGAGCGCCACCUGUGUGCCAGUCCCAGGUUUAGUAUUUUCAGAUAAAUUUUACAGAUGGGGAAACUGAGACUCAGAAAAAUUAAUCCAACACUUCUUCUCCUUUUUUUUUUUUAAAGGAUUUUAUUUACUUAUUCAUGAGAGACAUAAAGAGAAACAGAGACACAGGCAGAAGGAGAAGCAGGCUCCAUGCAGAGAGCCCAAUGUGGGACUCGAUCCUGGGAUCCCAGGAUCACACCCUGGGCCGAAGGCAGACACUCAACUGCUGAGCCACCCUGGCGUCCCUAAUCCAACACUUCUAAGCCUCAAGACUUUGAGUAAAUUUCCCACGCUCUGUAUAAUUUUCCAUUUGCUCGUUUGCAAAAUGUGGCUGAUGAAGCCUACCUCCCUGGGUGGUUCCAGGAAUUGGAGGAGACCAUAACGGGGAGAGCAUCUUGUGGCUGGCAGGUGCACCCCCAAACCAGCUCCUCCCUCCCUUCCUUUGGCAGAAAGGCGGGCUGCAUCUUCAGUAAAGAGAGUCUGGGUUUCAUGUCCUCAGGGAGAAACUCAUCUUUGCUCCGGGCUUUGAAAUCCCUGGUGCCCACAACUUAAUAGACUCACAAUUGGUUAAUUUUCUCCUGACAUUGAUCAGCGAAGGGUCUCGAGGGCGCACACCAGCCUGGCCCCGGGGGCGGGGGAGGGGCGGGGGCCGGGGCCGCCAGCUGGCUGGCCUGGCCUCCCUAACCAGAAAU
rnacentral:lncRNA from 12 species